AUUGAACGCUGGCGGCAGGCUUAACACAUGCAAGUCGAGCGGGGAAAGGUAGCUUGCUACCUGACCUAGCGGCGGACGGGUGAGUAAUGCUUAGGAAUCUGCCUAUUAGUGGGGGACAACAUCUCGAAAGGGAUGCUAAUACCGCAUACGUCCUACGGGAGAAAGCAGGGGACCUUCGGGCCUUGCGCUAAUAGAUGAGCCUAAGUCGGAUUAGCUAGUUGGUGGGGUAAAGGCCUACCAAGGCGACGAUCUGUAGCGGGUCUGAGAGGAUGAUCCGCCACACUGGGACUGAGACACGGCCCAGACUCCUACGGGAGGCAGCAGUGGGGAAUAUUGGACAAUGGGGGGAACCCUGAUCCAGCCAUGCCGCGUGUGUGAAGAAGGCCUUUUGGUUGUAAAGCACUUUAAGCGAGGAGGAGGCUACCGAGAUUAAUACUCUUGGAUAGUGGACGUUACUCGCAGAAUAAGCACCGGCUAACUCUGU
rnacentral:rRNA from 1 species